ACGAUGAACCUCCUUCGGGAGGGGAUUAGUGGCGAACGGGUGAGUAACACGUGGGCAAUCUGCCCUUCACUCUGGGACAAGCCCUGGAAACGGGGUCUAAUACCGGAUAUGACACACGACCGCAUGGUCUGUGUGUGGAAAGCUCCGGCGGUGAAGGAUGAGCCCGCGGCCUAUCAGCUUGUUGGUGGGGUGAUGGCCUACCAAGGCGACGACGGGUAGCGGGCCUGAGAGGGCGACCGGCCACACUGGGACUGAGACACGGCCCAGACUCCUACGGGAGGCAGCAGUGGGGAAUAUUGCACAAUGGGCGAAAGCCUGAUGCAGCGACGCCGCGUGAGGGAUGACGGCCUUCGGGUUGUAAACCUCUUUCAGCAGGGAAGAAGCGAGAGUGACGGUACCUGCAGAAGAAGCGCCGGCUAACUACGUGCCAGCAGCCGCG
rnacentral:rRNA from 1 species